rnacentral:rRNA from 1 species
UUACCAGAGCACUAUGAAUGUAUAAAGAUUUAAAACUCAAAGGACUUGGCGGUGUUUUAGACCACUCAGGGGAACCUGUCUCGUAAUCGAUAAUCCGCGUUGCACCUGACCUCUUUUUGUUCUCAGUUUGUAUACCGUUGUCGUCAGGUAACUUUUUAGAAACUAGAAGUUAGCUAUAGAAAUAAUUGAUAGUUUAAUACGUCAAAUCAAGGUGCAGCUUAUAUAGAGGGGAGGAUGGGUUACAAUUAUAUAAUUUAUAAUAACGGAGAUAUACAUGAAUAUGUGUUAAUUAUAAGGUGGACUUGAAAGUAAAUUGAAAUAUAUAAAUAAUUUGAAUAAGGCUCUGAAACGUGU